ensembl:lncRNA
GAAACACGUUGUAGAAAGCGGAGAAAAAAAGACACUAAAAAGAGUAUACAAGUAAAGUCUCUGCAUCCUGUAGGGACUGGAGGAGGAAGUGACUAAGAGUUUUAAUGGGGUGUCAUUGAAGAACAGUGGCCCCGCCCCCAAUCCCCGACCUAGAGGCCUUUGAAGAAGCCCUCGGCCUCCGUGGCCUCCCGGAACGUCACGGUCACGGCGUUGAUGGUCACCUGGGUGACGGUCACCUUCUCGUCGGGGGUCCCGGCGGCCACGUCCUCAUCUCCCGGGAGCGCCGGGGCGAGCAGCGCCGGGGCCCCGGACCCCCCCUCGGGGUCCUCGGGGCCCCCGGGGGGGGGUUCGACCCUCCGGGGGUCCAGGGGCCCGCUCCCCUGAAUGUUCACGAUCACCGACGCGCCGCUCCUCUGCCAGGCGGGGCCCGGUGGGGAGAGCCCCCCGCCCCCAACAGACCCCGCCCCCAACCCCCGCCCC